rnacentral:rRNA from 1 species
GAUGAACGCUAGCUACAGGCUUAACACAUGCAAGUCGAGGGGAAACGACAUCGAAAGCUUGCUUUUGAUGGGCGUCGACCGGCGCACGGGUGAGUAACGCGUAUCCAACCUGCCCACACUUGGGAUAACCCGGAGAAAUCCGGACUAAUACCGCGUAACACCGCGGGGAGACAUCUCCCGGCGGUCAAAGGAAGCGAUUCCGGCCAGGGAUGGGCAUGCGGCGCAUUAGGCAGUUGGCGGGGUAACGGCCCACCAAACCGACGAUGCGUAGGGGUUCUGAGAGGAAGGUCCCCCACACUGGUACUGAGACACGGACCAGACUCCUACGGGAGGCAGCAGUGAGGAAUAUUGGUCAAUGGGCGCAGGCCUGAACCAGCCAAGUCGCGUGAGGGAGGACGGUCCUACGGAUUGUUAAACCUCUUUUGUCGGGGAGUAACGUGCGGGACGGGUCCCGUAUUGAGAGUACCCGAAGAAAAAGCAUCGGCUAACUCCGUG